CGUGAAGCGGAGCAAAUCUCAAAAACCGGUCCCAGUUCGGAUUGUAGGCUGCAACUCGCCUACAUGAAGUCGGAGUUGCUAGUAAUCGCGGAUCAGAAUGCCGCGGUGAAUGCGUUCCCGGGUCUUGUACACACCGCCCGUCACACCAUGGAAGUUGGGGGCGCCCGAAGUUGCCUAAGAAAUAAGGUACCUAAGGCGAAACCAAUGACUGGGGUGAAGUCGUAACAAGGUAAC
rnacentral:rRNA from 1 species